GGUAUUUUACGCUAUAGAUGGAAAACAUUCUACUAGUAAUAACAGAAUCAUAUUUUGUUCAGCUAUAUUUGGUAAACAUCCUGCUAGUAAUAACAAGAUCAAAUUUUAUUCAAUAUUGUAAUUGUACAGCUGUAUAAUAGAAUUAGAAAUUACAGUAUUAUAGGCAUGAUUCUAGGAGCUAACAAAUGUCUCAUCUUGUAUAUAAUGUGACCUAUCUAUUUUGAGAAAUACACAACGUG
rnacentral:lncRNA from 1 species